rnacentral:sRNA from 1 species
AAUAUUGACUGCUUCUAAGCAAGUUUCGUUGGUUUUAGACUCUUUUGGAUGAAAAUGGGUAUAAGUGUUUUCUAAACACUCCUAAUCCAUCUCUAACUCUAAUAAUUAGUCGAUUGCACUGGAUUGUGACACAUUAUGACCAUAAAAACACUAACAAAGUUAUU